rnacentral:rRNA from 1 species
AUUGAACGCUGGCGGCAGGCCUAACACAUGCACGUCGAGCGAGCGUCGGACGGGUGAGUAAUGUCUGGGGAUCUUCCCGAUCGAGUGGGAUAACUACUGGAAACGGUGGCUACUCCCUCCUACUAUCGGCUGCACCCCUAUGGGAUUGGCUAGUAGGUGGGGUAAAGGCUCACCUAGGCGACGAUCUCUAGCUGGUCUGAGAGGAUGAUCAGCCACACUGGGACUGAGACACGGCCCAGACUCCUACGGGAGGCAGCAGUGGGUAAGAGUGCACAAUGGGCGCAAGCCUGAUGCAGCCAUGCCGCGUGUAUGAAGAAGGCCUUAGGGUUGUAAAGUACUUUCAGCGGGGAGGCGGGAACCGAAGAAGAAGCACAGGCUAACUCCGUGCCAGCAGCCGCGGUAAUAC